rnacentral:rRNA from 1 species
AUGAACGCUGGCGGCGUGCCUAAUACAUGCCCGUCGAGCGAACAGAUGAGGAGCUUGCUCCUCUGACGUUAGCGGCGGACGGGUGAGUAACACGUGGAUAACCUACCUAUAGACUGGGAUAACUUCGGGAAACCGGAGCUAAUACCGGAUAAUAUAUUGAACCGCAUGGUUCAAUAGUGAAAGACGGUUUUGCUGUCACUUAUAGAUGGAUCCGCGCCGCAUUAGCUAGUUGGUAAGGUAACGGCUUACCAAGGCAACGAUGCGUAGCCGACCUGAGAGGGUGAUCGGCCACACUGGAACUGAGACACGGUCCAGACUCCUACGGGAGGCAGCAGUAGGGAAUCUUCCGCAAUGGGCGAAAGCCUGACGGAGCAACGCCGCGUGAGUGAUGAAGGUCUUCGGAUCGUAAAACUCUGUUAUUAGGGAAGAACAAAUGUGUAAGUAACUAUGCACGUCUUGACGGUACCUAAUCAGAAAGCCACGGCUAACUACGUG